rnacentral:rRNA from 1 species
GACGAACGCUGGCGGCGUGCUUAACACAUGCAAGUCGAACGGAGUGGCGAACGGGUGAGUAACACGUGGGUGACCUGCCCUGCACUUCGGGAUAAGCCUGGGAAACUGGGUCUAAUACCGGAUAGUGUGGGAUGGGCCCGCGGCCUAUCAGCUUGUUGGUGGGGUAAUGGCCUACCACGGCGGCGACGGGUAGCCGGCCUGAGAGGUGGGACGGCCACAUUGGGCCUGGGGCACGGACCAGAGGCCUACGGGAGGCAGCAGGGGGGAAUAUUGCACAAUGGGCGGAAGCCUGAGGCAGAGACGCCGCGGGGGGGAUGACGGCCUUCGGGUUGUAAACUCCUUUCACCAUCGACGCGGUAGAUGGAGAAGAAGCACCGGCUAACUACGUGCCAGCAGCCGCGGUAAUUC